rnacentral:rRNA from 1 species
GGGUUGUGAGGUUAAGCGACUAAGCGUACACGGUGGAUGCCACGGCAGUCAGAGGCGAUGAAGGACGUGCUAAUCUGCGAAAAGCGUCGGUAAGGUGAUAUGAACCGUUAUAACCGGCGAUGUCCGAAUGGGGAAACCCAGUGCAAUUCGUUGCACUAUCGUUAACUGAAUACAUAGGUUAACGAGGCGAACCGGGGAACUGAAACAUCUAAGUACCCCGAGGAAAAGAAAUCAACCGAGAUUCCCCAGUAGCGGCGAGCGAACGGGGAGCAGCCAGAGUCUGAAUCAGCUUGUGUGUUAGUGGAACGGUCUGGAAAGUCCGACGGUACAGGGUGAUAGUCCCGUACACCAAAAUGCACAGGCUGUGAACUCGAAGAGUAGGGCGGGACACGUGGUAUCCUGUCUGAAUAUGGGGGACCAUCCUCCAAGGCUAAAUACUCCUGACUGACCGAUAGUGAACCAGUACCGUGAGGGAAAGGCGAAAAGAACCCCGGCGAGGGAGUGAAAAAGAACCUGAAACCGUGUACGUACAAGCAGUGGGAGCACCUUCGGGUGUGACUGCGUACCUUUGUAUAAUGGGUCAGCGACUUAUAUUCUGUAGCAAGGUUAACCGUAUAGGGGAGCCGCAGGGAAACCGAGUCUUAACUGGGCGUUAAGUUGCAGGGUAUAGACCCGAAACCCGGUGAUCUAGCCAUGGGCAGGUUGAAGGUUGGGUAACACUAACUGGAGGACCGAACCGACUAAUGUUGAAAAAUUAGCGGAUGACUUGUGGCUGGGGGUGAAAGGCCAAUCAAACCGGGAGAUAGCUGGUUCUCCCGAAAGCUAUUUAGGUAGCGCCUCGUGAACUCAUCUUCGGGGGUAGAGCACUGUUUCGGCUAGGGGUCAUCCCGACUUACCAACCCGAUGCAAACUACGAAUACCGAAGAAUGUUAUCACGGGAGACACACGGCGGGUGCUAACGUCCGUCGUGAAGAGGAAACAACCCAGACCGCCAGCUAAGGUCCCAAAGUCAUGGUUAAGUGGGAAACGAUGUGGGAAGGCACAGACAGCCGGGAUGUUGGCUUAGAAGCAGCCAUCAUUUAAAGAAAGCGUAAUAGCUCACUGGUCGAGUCGGCCUGCGCGGAAGAUGUAACGGGGCUAAACCAUGCACCGAAGCUGCGGCAGCGACACUAUGUGUUGUUGGGUAGGGGAGCGUUCUGUAAGCCUGCGAAGGUGUGCUGUGAGGCAUGCUGGAGGUAUCAGAAGUGCGAAUGCUGACAUAAGUAACGAUAAAGCGGGUGAAAAGCCCGCUCGCCGGAAGACCAAGGGUUCCUGUCCAACGUUAAUCGGGGCAGGGUGAGUCGACCCUAAGGCGAGGCCGAAAGGCGUAGUCGAUGGGAAACAGGUUAAUAUUCCUGUACUUGGUGUUACUGCGAAGGGGGACGGAGAAGGCUAUGUUAGCCGGGCGACGGUUGUCCCGGUUUAAGCAUGUAGGCUGAUUGUCGAGGCAAAUCCGGAUAAUCAAGGCUGAGGUGUGAUGACGAGGCACUACGGUGCUGAAGUAACAAAUGCCCUGCUUCGGGGAAAAGCCUCUAAGCAUCAGGUAACAUCAAAUCGUACCCCAAACCGACACAGGUGGUCAGGUAGAGAAUACCAAGGCGCUUGAGAGAACUCGGGUGAAGGAACUAGGCAAAAUGGUGCCGUAACUUCGGGAGAAGGCACGCUGGUGUGUAGGUGAAGUCCCUGCGGAUGGAGCUGAGACCAGUCGAAGAUACCAGCUGGCUGCAACUGUUUAUUAAAAACACAGCACUGUGCAAACACGAAAGUGGACGUAUACGGUGUGACGCCUGCCCGGUGCCGGAAGGUUAAUUGAUGGGGUUAUCCGUAAGGAGAAGCUCUUGAUCGAAGCCCGGUAAACGGCGGCCGUAACUAUAACGGUCCUAAGGUAGCGAAAUUCCUUGUCGGGUAAGUUCCGACCUGCACGAAUGGCGUAAUGAUGGCGGGCUGUCUCCACCCGAGACUCAGUGAAAUUGAACUCGCUGUGAAGAUGCAGUGUACCCGCGGCAAGACGGAAAGACCCCGUGAACCUUUACUAUAGCUUGACACUGAACAUUGAGCCUUGAUGUGUAGGAUAGGUGGGAGGCUUUGAAGCGUGGACGCCAGUCUGCGUGGAGCCAACCUUGAAAUACCACCCUUUAAUGUUUGAUGUUCUAACGUUGGCCCCUGACCGGGGUUGCGGACAGUGUCUGGUGGGUAGUUUGACUGGGGCGGUCUCCUCCCAAAGCGUAACGGAGGAGCACGAAGGUUAGCUAAUCCGGUCGGACAUCAGGAGGUUAGUGCAAUGGCAUAAGCUAGCUUGACUGCGAGCGUGACGGCGCGAGCAGGUGCGAAAGCAGGUCAUAGUGAUCCGGUGGUUCUGAAUGGAAGGGCCAUCGCUCAACGGAUAAAAGGUACUCCGGGGAUAACAGGCUGAUACCGCCCAAGAGUUCAUAUCGACGGCGGUGUUUGGCACCUCGAUGUCGGCUCAUCACAUCCACGGGGCUGAAGUAGGUCCCAAGGGUAUGGCUGUUCGCCAUUUAAAGUGGUACGCGAGCUGGGUUUAGAACGUCGUGAGACAGUUCGGUCCCCUAUCUGCCGUGGGCGCUGGAGAAUUGAGGGGGCUGCUCCUAGUACGAGAGGACCGGAGUGGACGCAUCACUGGUGUUCGGGUUGUCAUGCCAAUGGCACUGCCCGGUAGCUAAAUGCGGAAGAGAUAAGUGCUGAAAGCAUCUAAGCACGAAACUUGCCCCGAGAUGAGUUCUCCCUGAGACUUUAAGUCUCCUGAAGGAACGUUGAAGACGACGACGUUGAUAGGCCGGGUGUGUAAGCGCAGCGAUGCGUUGAGCUAACCGGUACUAAUGAACCGUGAGGCUUAACCUUACAACGCCGAAG